rnacentral:rRNA from 1 species
CUCGAGAUGGCCUCGCGUCCAAUUAGCUAGUUGGUGAGGUAACGGCCCACCAAGGCGACGAUUGGUAGCCGGACUGAGAGGUUGAACGGCCACAUUGGGACUGAGACACGGCCCAGACUCCUACGGAAGGCAGCAG